GGCGAUAAAUUGCCGGUGGCCUAGCGAAAGCGUUAAGCAUCCCACCUGGGGAGUACGCCGGCAACGGUGAAACUCAAAGGAAUUGACGGGGGCCCGCACAAGCGGAGGAACAUGUGGUUUAAUUCGAUGAUACGCGAGGAACCUUACCCGGGCUUGAAUUGCAGAGGAAAGAUCCAGAGAUGGUGAUGCCCUUCGGGGUCUCUGUGAAGGUGCUGCAUGGUUGUCGUCAGCUCGUGACGUGAGGUGUCGGCUUAAGUGCCAUAACGAGCGCAACCCCUCUGCGUAGUUGCCAUCGGGUAAUGCCGGGCACUCUGCGCACACUGCCACCGCAAGGUGUGAGGAAGGUGGGGAUGACGUCAAAUCAGCACGGCCCUUACGUCCGGGGCUACACACGUGUUACAAUGGCAGGUACAGCGAGUCGGGAGCAUGCAAAUGUUCUCCAAUCCCCAAAACCUGCCUCAGUUCGGACUGGGGUCUGCAACCCGACCCCACGAAGCUGGAUUCGCUUGUAAUCGCGCAUCAGCCAUGGCGCGGUGAAUACGUUUCCGGGCCUUGUACACACCGCCCGUCAAGCCAUGAAAGCCGGGGAAAACAUGAAGUCCGUGCCGCGAGGGUCGGCCUAGGGCGAGACUUUUUGAUUGGGCUAAGUCGUAACAAAGUAGCCG
rnacentral:rRNA from 1 species